rnacentral:tRNA from 1 species
GCUUAGCUCAAUUGGUAGAGCGUCAGCCUUACAAGCUGAGGGUUAUAGGUUCGAGUCCUAUAGCGC